GGCCGCGGGAAUUCGAUUCAGGCCUAACACAUGCAAGUCGAAAAAAAACCACCUCCGGGUGGAAGCGAGUGGCGAACGGCUGAGUAACACGUGGAGAACCUGCCCCCUCCCCCGGGAUAGCCGCCCGAAAGGACGGGUAAUACCGGAUACCCCGGGGUGCCGCAUGGCGCCCCGGCUAAAGCCCCGACGGGAGGGGAUGGCUCCGCGGCCCAUCAGGUAGACGGCGGGGUGACGGCCCACCGUGCCGACAACGGGUAGCCGGGUUGAGAGACCGACCGGCCAGAUUGGGACUGAGACACGGCCCAGACUCCUACGGGAGGCAGCAGUGGGGAAUCUUGCGAAGGGGGGGGAACCCUGACGCAGCGACGCCGCGUGCGUGAAGGGGGCCUUCGGGUCGUAAACCGCUUUCAGCAGGGAAGAGUCAAGA
rnacentral:rRNA from 1 species